CCAAGGGUCCCAGGCCAGGCUCUGGAGCUGCUGCCCUUGGGAUUAAGGCCCGAGGCGGGAAGGGAGACGCCUGAUAGAUGAGGGAGGGGGCUCUGGGUGAUCACUGCUCAGCUGGGGGACCCUCACACCCGAGGGUCCCACUAACGGACAGCCAUUAGCCCCCGUCCCUAUUCUACCCUUGUACAGUCCGGGAGCCUGAGGCUCAGACCCAGGAACCGAGCUGCCCAACGCCACACAGACGCCAGGUGUCCUGACUCGCAGCCUGGGUCCGCGGCAGUCACCUGAGCCCGAGCCCGCUGCCCUGCCGCCGGGACACCACGACACCGGGACACCAGGACACCGGGACAGGCACGGGGAGAAGGCCGGCGAUGCUCGCGGUGGGCCCUGUCCUCUUUCCUCUGCCCAGCUCCGGGAGGGCCUUGGGAACGAAGCCCAGGCCCCCUCCCCCCACCCACAGUUCCAGGUUGGGCCGGGACUCCGUUGUACAGAUGAGGACACUGAGAUUCCCCCAAGCUCAACGCUGCACGGGCCCAGGACGGCCACUCCAGGGGCUGGAGCUCUGAAGCCCAUGGCACUGGUUCAAAUCCG